UACGAAGGGGACUAGCGUUGUUCGGAAUUACUGGGCGUAAAGCGCACGUAGGCGGAUUUGUUAGUCAGGGGUGAAAUCCCGGGGCUCAACCUCGGAACUGCCUUUGAUACUGCAAAUCUCGAGUCCGAUAGAGGUGGGUGGAAUUCCUAGUGUAGAGGUGAAAUUCGUAGAUAUUAGGAAGAACACCGGUGGCGAAGGCGGCCCACUGGAUCGGUACUGACGCUGAGGAGCGAAAGCGUGGGGAGCGAACAGG
rnacentral:rRNA from 1 species